UACGUAGGGGGCAAGCGUUGUCCGGAAUCAUUGGGCGUAAAGAGCGUGUAGGCGGCCUGGUAAGUCCGCUGUGAAAGUCCAGGGCUCAACCCUGGAAUGCCGGUGGAAACUGUCAGGCUCGAGUCCGGAAGAGGCGAGUGGAAUUCCUGGUGUAGCGGUGAGAUGCGCAGAUAUCAGGAGGAACACCAAUAGCGAAGGCAGCUCGCUGGGACGGUACUGACGCUAAGGCGCGAAAGCGUGGGGAGCGAAAAGG
rnacentral:rRNA from 1 species